CGUAAGCGUGCGCAGGCGGUUAUAUAAGACAGAUGUGAAAUCCCCGGGCUCAACCUGGGAACUGCAUUUGUGACUGUAUAGCUGGAGUGCGGCAGAGGGGGAUGGAUUCCGCGUGUAGCAGUGAAAUGCGUAGAUAUGCGGAGGACACCGAUGGCGAAGGCAAUCCCCUGGGCCUGCACUGACGCUCAUGCACGAAAGCGUGGGGAGCAAACAGGAUUAGAUACCCCUGU
rnacentral:rRNA from 1 species